rnacentral:tRNA from 1 species
UCCGGGAUCGUCUAAAGGCAGGACGAUUGACUUUGGAUCAGUAGAUGCGUGGUUCGAAUCCCGCUCCCGGAA